rnacentral:rRNA from 1 species
UACGUAGGGGGCAAGCGUUGUCCGGAUUUAUUGGGCGUAAAGAGCUCGUAGGCGGCUUGGCAAGUCGGGUGUGAAAACUCCAGGCUCAACCUGGAGAUGCCACUCGAGACUGCUAUGGCUAGAGUCCGGUAGGGGACCACGGAAUUCCUGGUGUAGCGGUGAAAUGCGCAGAUAUCAGGAGGAACACCAAUGGCGAAGGCAGCACUCUAGGACGUGACUGACGCUGAGACGCGAAAGCGUGGGGAGCGAACAGG